rnacentral:rRNA from 1 species
AGAGUUUGAUCCUGGCUCAGGACGAACGCUGGCGGCGUGCUUAACACAUGCAAGUCGAACGGAAAGGCCCUUCGGGGUACUCGAGUGGCGAACGGGUGAGUAACACGUGGGUGAUCUGCCCUGCACUUUGGGAUAAGCCUGGGAAACUGGGUCUAAUACCGAAUAUGACCAUGCACUUCCUGGUGUGUGGUGGAAAGCUUUUGCGGUGUGGGAUGGGCCCGCGGCCUAUCAGCUUGUUGGUGGGGUAAUGGCCUACCAAGGCGACGACGGGUAGCCGGCCUGAGAGGGUGACCGGCCACACUGGGACUGAGAUACGGCCCAGACUCCUACGGGAGGCAGCAGUGGGGAAUAUUGCACAAUGGGCGCAAGCCUGAUGCAGCGACGCCGCGUGAGGGAUGACGGCCUUCGGGUUGUAAACCUCUUUCAGCACAGACGAAGCGCAAGUGACGGUAUGUGCAGAAGAAGGACCGGCCAACUACGUGCCAGCAGCCGCGGUAAUACGUAGGGUGCGAGCGUUGUCCGGAAUUACUGGGCGUAAAGAGCUCGUAGGUGGUUUGUCGCGUUGUUCGUGAAAUCUCACGGCUUAACUGUGAGCGUGCGGGCGAUACGGGCAGACUUGAGUACUGCAGGGGAGACUGGAAUUCCUGGUGUAGCGGUGGAAUGCGCAGAUAUCAGGAGGAACACCGGUGGCGAAGGCGGGUCUCUGGGCAGUAACUGACGCUGAGGAGCGAAAGCGUGGGGAGCGAACAGGAUUAGAUACCCUGGUAGUCC